AUGAACGCUGGCGGCGUGCCUAAUACCUGCAAGUCGAGCGAACAGACGAGGAGCUUGCUCCUCUGACGUUAGCGGCGGACGGGUGAGUAACACGUGGAUAACCUACCUAUAAGACUGGGAUAACUUCGGGAAACCGGAGCUAAUACCGGAUAAUAUAUUGAACCGCAUGGUUCAAUAGUGAAAGACGGUUUUGCUGUCACUUAUAGAUGGAUCCGCGCCGCAUUAGCUAGUUGGUAAGGUAACGGCUUACCAAGGCAACGAUGCGUAGCCGACCUGAGAGGGUGAUCGGCCACACUGGAACUGAGACACGGUCCAGACUCCUACGGGAGGCAGCAGUAGGGAAUCUUCCGCAAUGGGCGAAAGCCUGACGGAGCAACGCCGCGUGAGUGAUGAAGGUCUUCGGAUCGUAAAACUCUGUUAUUAGGGAAGAACAAAUGUGUAAGUAACUAUGCACGUCUUGACGGUACCUAAUCAGAAAGCCACGGCUAACUGCGUG
rnacentral:rRNA from 1 species